AUAAGUGGAAGACCUUUGUGACAUCAGUAAAAGGAACUUCAGGAAAAUAGUGAUAGAGAAGCCAGACUGUAAUGGGAGGAGGAGGUAAGGAGGAUGACCCAUCAGCAAAGGAGUAAAGACAGUUUGCUCUUGCAAAGGCUUUGGCAGUAAAGAAGAUAUGAAAGGGAAAGAACAAUCCUUUCCAAUGCCAAAGAAAAAUGGGCUCUUCUGGAAUUCUUGAGAGACUGAUUAUACAUUGAUCUCCACAGAGGAAACUCCUUAGGGGAUUUUCAAAGACCCUGUCUGAAAGCACAUCCAUAUGCUUUGGAUGCUCUGGGAAUGGAAAGGUCACGUUGGACCUGAGUGCCUCUCGGUCACGUGUGGGUGCUCCUGUUUGCCACUGACUGGCAUAUAUUUGUAUUUAAAGCCACAACCAGGCAGCAAAGAAAUGUCAUAUGAACACAUUCUGAAAAGGAGGCCAGAACUGGACUAUCCUGGAGCCCUGAUUUCAGACAUCC